GUGCUUUGGCAGCACACUACUAAAAUUGAAGUGGCACAGAGAAGAUUAGCAUGGUCCCUAUGCAAGGAUGACCAGCAAGUUGGUGAAGUGUUUCAUUAUUUU